UACGGAGGUGGCAAGCGUUACUCGGAUUGAUUGGGUGUAAAGGGCGUGUAGGUGGCGAAUUAAGUCGAAUGUGAAAUCCCUUGGCUUAACCAAGGAACUGCGUUCGAAACUGAUUCGCUUGAGCAAUGGAGGGGAAAGCGGAAUUCCCGGUGUAACAGUGAAAUGUGUAGAUAUCGGGAGGAACACCAGUGGCGAAGGCGGCUUUCUGGACAUUUGCUGACACUGAAACGCGAGAGCUAGGGGAGCAAACAGG
rnacentral:rRNA from 1 species